GCCCCGGUAAACGGCGGCCGUAACUAUAACGGUCCUAAGGUAGCGAAAUUCCUUGUCGGGUAAGUUCCGACCUGCACGAAUGGCGUAAUGAUGGCCAGGCUGUCUCCACCCGAGACUCAGUGAAAUUGAACUCGCUGUGAAGAUGCAGUGUACCCGCGGCAAGACGGAAAGACCCCGUGAACCUUUACUAUAGCUUGACACUGAACAUUGAGCCUUGAUGUGUAGGAUAGGUGGGAGGCUUUGAAGUGUGGACGCCAGUCUGCAUGGAGCCGACCUUGAAAUACCACCCUUUAAUGUUUGAUGUUCUAACGUAGGCCCCUUAUCGGGGUUGCGGACAGUGUCUGGUGGGUAGU
rnacentral:rRNA from 1 species